rnacentral:rRNA from 1 species
UACGGAGGGGGCUAGCGUUGUUCGGAAUUACUGGGCGUAAAGCGCACGUAGGCGGCUUUGUAAGUUAGAGGUGAAAGCCCGGAGCUCAACUCCGGAAUUGCCUUUAAGACUGCAUCGCUUGAAUCAUGGAGAGGUGAGUGGAAUUCCGAGUGUAGAGGUGAAAUUCGUAGAUAUUCGGAAGAACACCAGUGGCGAAGGCGGCUCACUGGCUCGACACUGACGCUGAGGUGCGAAAAGCGUGGGGGAGCGAACAGG